rnacentral:rRNA from 1 species
GACGAACGCUGGCGGCGUGCUUAACACAUGCAAGUCGAACGGAAAGGCCCUGCUUUUGUGGGGUGCUCGAGUGGCGAACGGGUGAGUAACACGUGAGUAACCUGCCCUUGACUUUGGGAUAACUUCAGGAAACUGGGGCUAAUACCGGAUAGGAGCUCCUGCUGCAUGGUGGGGGUUGGAAAGUUUCGGCGGUUGGGGAUGGACUCGCGGCUUAUCAGCUUGUUGGUGGGGUAGUGGCUUACCAAGGCUUUGACGGGUAGCCGGCCUGAGAGGGUGACCGGCCACAUUGGGACUGCGAUACGGCCCAGACUCCUACGGGAGGCAGCAGUGGGGAAUAUUGCACAAUGGGCGGAAGCCUGAUGCAGCAACGCCGCGUGCGGGAUGACGGCCUGCGGGUUGUAAACCGCUUUCGCCUGUGACGAAGCGUGAGUGACGGUAAUGGGUAAAGAAGCACCGGCUAACUACGUG